AAUUGGUCACUAAUUUCAAUAGUGAGCAAAAAUGAUAGUUUUGGUGACAACUUCUGUUGUCACUAAAUGUGAAAUUUCUUGUAGUGUAGUAGAUAUAAGA